rnacentral:rRNA from 1 species
UGAAUGUUGAAAAAUUCUCGGAUGACUUGUGGAUAGGGGUGAAAGGCCAAUCAAACCUGGACAUAGCUGGUUCUCCGCGAAAUCUAUUUAGGUAGAGCGUCCGACGAAUUCCCUGGGGGGUAGAGCACUGGAUGGUUGCGGGCUGCGCGAGCGGUACCAAUACUAACCAAACUCCGAAUACCCAGGAGAACUAUCGGGCAGACACACGGCGGGUGCUAACGUCCGUCGUGAAAAGGGAAACAACCCUAACCAUCAUCUAAGGCCCCCAAGUCAUGGCUAAGUGGGAAACGAUGUGGGAUUGCUUUGACAAUCAGGAGGUUGGCUUAGAAGCAGCCAUCCUUUAAAGAAAGCGUAACAGCUCACUGAUCAAGCGAUCCUGCGCGGAAAAUGUAACGGGGCUAAAGCCAUGCGCCGAAGAUAUGGGUUUGCAGUUUACUGCAAGCGGUAGCGGAGCGUUCCGUAGGCCGGUGAAGGUCAACCGUGAGGUUGGCUGGAGGUAUCGGAAGUGAGAAUGCUGACAUGAGUAACGAUAAACAGAGUGAGAAACUCUGUCGCCGAAAGACCAAGGGUUCCUGCGUAAAGCUAAUCUGCGCAGGGUUAGUCGGCCCCUAAGGCGAGGCUGAAAAGCGUAGUCGAUGGGAAGCAGGUAAAUAUUCCUGCACCAGCUGGAAGUGACGGAUGGCAUAACUUGUAAGGGCUUAUUGGAUUGUCCUUGCAGGGGCGUUGUCCCUGGAAAUAACUCCAGCAGAGACCGUACCCGAAACCGACACAGGUGGUCAGGUAGAGCAUACCAAGGCGCUUGAGAGAACUGUGCUGAAGGAACUCGGCAAAUUGCACGCGUAACUUCGGAAUAAGCGUGACUCACCCUGCGCAAGCAGGAAUGAGUGGCACAAGCCAGGGGGUAGCGACUGUUUAGCAAAAACACAGGGCUCUGCGAAGCAGCAAUGCGACGUAUAGGGUCUGACGCCUGCCCGGUGCCUGAAGGUUAAAGGGAGGAGUGAAAGCUCCGAACUGAAGCCCAGGUAAACGGCGGCCGUAACUAUAACGGUCCUAAGGUAGCGAAAUUCCUUGUCGGG